rnacentral:tRNA from 1 species
GGAUGGGUGGCCGAGUGGUCUAUGGCAGCGGUCUUGAAAACCGCCAAUCCGCAAGGGUUCGUGGGUUCGAAUCCCACCCCAUCCGCCG